GCAGUCGAACGAUGAAGCCCAGCUUGCUGGGUGGAUUAGUGGCGAACGGGUGAGUAACACGUGAGUAACCUGCCCUUGACUCUGGGAUAAGCGUUGGAAACGACGUCUAAUACCGGAUACGAGCUUCCACCGCAUGGUGAGUUGCUGGAAAGAAUUUUGGUCAAGGAUGGACUCGCGGCCUAUCAGCUUGUUGGUGAGGUAAUGGCUCACCAAGGCGACGACGGGUAGCCGGCCUGAGAGGGUGACCGGCCACACUGGGACUGAGACACGGCCCAGACUCCUACGGGAGGCAGCAGUGGGGAAUAUUGCACAAUGGGCGAAAGCCUGAUGCAGCAACGCCGCGUGAGGGACGACGGCCUUCGGGUUGUAAACCUCUUUUAGCAGGGAAGAAGCGAAAGUGACGGUACCUGCAGAAAAAGCACCGGCUAACUACGUGCCAGCAGCCGCGGUAAUACGUAGGGUGCAAGCGUUGUCCGGAAUUAUUGGGCGUAAAGAGCUCGUAGGCGGUUUGUCGCGUCUGCUGUGAAAUCCCGAGGCUCAACCUCGGGUCUGCAGUGGGUACGGGCAGACUAGAGUGCGGUAGGGGAGAUUGGAAUUCCUGGUGUAGCGGUGGAAUGCGCAGAUAUCAGGAGGAACACCGAUGGCGAAGGCAGAUCUCUGGGCCGCUACUGACGCUGAGGAGCGAAAGGGUGGGGAGCAAACAGGCUUAGAUACCCUGGUAGUCCACCCCGUAAACGUUGGGCGCUAGAUGUGGGGACCAUUCCACGGUUUCCGUGUCGUAGCUAACGCAUUAAGCGCCCCGCCUGGGGAGUACGGCCGCAAGGCUAAAACUCAAAGGAAUUGACGGGGGCCCGCACAAGCGGCGGAGCAUGCGGAUUAAUUCGAUGCAACGCGAAGAACCUUACCAAGGCUUGACAUAUACGAGAACGGGCCAGAAAUGGUCAACUCUUUGGACACUCGUAAACAGGUGGUGCAUGGUUGUCGUCAGCUCGUGUCGUGAGAUGUUGGGUUAAGUCCCGCAACGAGCGCAACCCUCGUUCUAUGUUGCCAGCACGUAAUGGUGGGAACUCAUGGGAUACUGCCGGGGUCAACUCGGAGGAAGGUGGGGACGACGUCAAAUCAUCAUGCCCCUUAUGUCUUGGGCUUCACGCAUGCUACAAUGGCCAGUACAAAGGGCUGCAAUACCGUAAGGUGGAGCGAAUCCCAAAAAGCUGGUCCCAGUUCGGAUUGAGGUCUGCAACUCGACCUCAUGAAGUCGGAGUCGCUAGUAAUCGCAGAUCAGCAACGCUGCGGUGAAUACGUUCCCGGGCCUUGUACACACCGCCCGUCAAGUCAUGAAAGUCGGUAACACCCGAAGCCAGUGGCCUAACCGCAAGGAUGGAGCUUC
rnacentral:rRNA from 1 species